AUUGAACGCUGGCGGCAGGCCUAACACAUGCAAGUCGAACGAGUGGCGGACGGGUGAGCUAUGUCUGGGACACUGCCUGAUGGAGGGGGAUCACUACUGGAAACGGUUACUAAUACCGCACAGCAUCGGCUGGGCCCAGAUGGGACUAGCUAGUGGGUGGGGUAAAGGCACACCUAGGCGACGAUCCGUAGCUGGUGUGAGAGGAUGACCAGCCACACUGGAACUGAGACACGGUCCAGACUCCUACGGGAGGCAGCAGUGGGGAAUAUUGGACAAUGGGCGCAAGCCUGAUGCAGCCAUGCCGCGUGUAUGAAGAAGGCCUUCGGGUUGUAAAGUACUUUCAGCUGGGAGGCGUUACCCGCAGAAGAAGCACCGGCUAACUCCGUGCCAGCCGCCGCGGUAAUAC
rnacentral:rRNA from 1 species